rnacentral:rRNA from 1 species
UACAGAGGUCUCAAGCGUUGUUCGGAUUCAUUGGGCGUAAAGGGUGCGUAGGUGGCGUCGUAAGUCAGGUGUGAAAUUUCGGAGCUUAACUCCGAAACUGCAUUUGAUACUGCGGUGCUUGAGGACUGGAGAGGAGACUGGAAUUUACGGUGUAGCAGUGAAGUGCGUAGAGAUCGUAAGGAAGACCAGUGGCGAAGGCGGGUCUCUGGACAAGUACUGACACUCAACUGCGAAAGCGUGGGGAGCAAACAGG